rnacentral:rRNA from 1 species
UACGGAGGAUGCAAGCGUUAUCCGGAUUCAUUGGGUUUAAAGGGUGCGUAGGCGGCCUUUUAAGUCAGUGGUGAAAUCCUGCCGCUUAACGGUAGAAUUGCCAUUGAUACUGAAAGGCUUGAGUCCAGUUGAGGUAAGCGGAAUGUGUAGUGUAGCGGUGAAAUGCUUAGAUAUUACACAGAACACCAAUUGCGAAGGCAGCUUACUAAACUGUAACUGACGCGGAUGCACGAAAGCGUGGGGAGCGAACAGG